GACGAACGCUGGCGGCGUGCUUAACACAUGCAAGUCGAACGGAAAGGCCCUGCUUUUGUGGGGUGCUCGAGUGGCGAACGGGUGAGUAACACGUGAGUAACCUGCCCUUGACUUUGGGAUAACUUCAGGAAACUGGGGCUAAUACCGGAUAGGAGCUCCUGCUGCAUGGUGGGGGUUGGAAAGUUUCGGCGGUUGGGGAUGGACUCGCGGCUUAUCAGCUUGUUGGUGGGGUAGUGGCUUACCAAGGCUUUGACGGGUAGCCGGCCUGAGAGGGUGACCGGCCACAUUGGGACUGAGAUACGGCCCGGACUCCUACGGGAGGCAGCAGUGGGGAAUAUUGCACAAUGGGCGGAAGCCUGAUGCAGCAACGCCGCGUGCGGGAUGACGGCCUUCGGGUUGUAAACCGCUUUCGCCUGUGACGAAGCGUUAGUGACGGUAAUGGGUAAAGAAGCACCGGCUAACUACGUG
rnacentral:rRNA from 1 species